rnacentral:rRNA from 1 species
ACCCGCUGAAUUUAAGCAUAUCAAUAAGCGGAGGAAAAGAAACCAACAGGGAUUGCCUCAGUAACGGCGAGUGAAGCGGCAACAGCUCAAAUUUGAAAUCGGCCACCAGGUCGAGUUGUAAUUUGUAGAUUGUAUCUUGAGAGCGGAUUAAAGUCUGUUGGAACACAGCGCCUUAGAGGGUGACAGCCCCGUAAAAUCUAUUCUCAUUGUAAGAUACUUUCGAAGAGUCGAGUUGUUUGGGAAUGCAGCUCUAAGUGGGAGGUAAAUUCCUUCUAAAGCUAAAUAUUGACGAGAGACCGAUAGCGAACAAGUACUGUGAAGGAAAGAUGAAAAGCACUUUGAAAAGAGAGUGAAAAAGUACGUGAAAUUGUUAAAAGGGAAGGGUAUUGGAUCAGACUUGGUGCUGUUGUUCAACUGUGUUUCGGCAUAGUGUACUCAGCAGUACUAGGCCAAGGUGGGGUGUUUGGGAGUGAAAAAGAAGUUGGAACGUAACUCUUCGGAGUGUUAUAGCCUACCUUCAUAGCUCCUCAGGCGCCUCAGGACUGCGCUUCGGCAAGGACCUUGGCAUAAUGAUUCUAUACCGCCCGUCUUGAAACACGGACCAAGGAG